AUGUGGGAUCUGCCAGUCAUAAGAGGAGGGUGUUUCUUCCGGAAUCAUUUUCGCUGGUUCCCUGUAAUUAAGCAGGCUUAAGUGAUUUGUCCUGUGUGCUGCUGGGUACAGUGAAGGAAGGUCAGGCAAGUUCUGAAAGUGCGACAUGAUGAGGAUAUUGUCACUUCCCACAGAGAACCCAGUGACGUACAAUGAUGUACUGGUGAGCUUUACUCGGGAAGAAUGGGCUUUGCUGGAUCCUUCCCAGAAGAGUCUCUACAAAGAUGUGAUGCUCGAAACCUAUAAGAACCUCACUGCCAUAGGCUAUAACUGGGAAGAUGACAAUAUUGAAGAAGAUUGUGAAAAUUCUGGAAGACCCAGAAGGCAUCUUCAAAGGGAUGGACCAAGUAAUACUAGAGAGAAACCCUUUGAAUGUAUUCAAUAUGAUGGAGCCUUUGCAAGAAACCAUCAUCAUCAGUUAUAUAAGAGCACUGGAUCUUUCAUGUCUUCUACUGAUCAUCAGAUACAUAGAAGACCACACACUGAAGAAAAAGUCUAUGAUGGUAACCAGUGUCGUAAAACCUUUUCAUUUCACAGCCAUUUACAAAUCCAUAAAGGAACAUAUACUGGAGAAAAACCGUAUGAAUGUAAUCAAUGUGGGAAAGCCUUUGCACGUCACAGCAAUCUUCAAGACCAUAAAAGAACACAUACUGGAGAGAAACCCUAUAAAUGUAAACAAUGUGGCAAAGCGUUUGCAUGGCACAAUACACUUCGAAAGCAUAAAAUAACACAUACUGGAGAGAAACCCUAUGAAUGUAAUCAAUGUGGCAAAGCCUUUGCAUUUCACAGUACUCUUCAAAAGCAUAAAAUAACACAUACUGGAGAGAAACCCUAUGAAUGUAACCAAUGUGGCAAAGCCUUUGCAUAUCACAAAACUCUUAAAGUCCAUAAAGAAGAAACACAUACUGGAGAGAAACCCUAUGAAUGUAACCAAUGUGGCAAAGCCUUUGCAUGUCGCAGAUAUCUUCAAAUCCAUAAAAAAACACAUAUUGAAGAGAAACCCUAUGAAUGUAACCAAUGUGGCAAAGCCUUUGUAUAUCAUAGAUACCUUCAAAUCCAUAAAAGAACACAUACUGGAGAGAAACCCUAUGAAUGUAAUCAAUGUGGCAAAGCCUUUGCAUGUCUUAAAAAUCUUCAAAGACAUAAAACAACACAUACUAGACAGAAACCCUAUGAAUGUAACCACUGUGGCAAAGCCUUUACACACGCCUUUCAUCUUCAGUGUCAUCAAAGGAUACAUACUGGAGAGAAACCCUAUGAAUGUAAACAAUGUGGUAAAGCCUUUACAUCUCACAGAUAUCUUAAAAGCCAUGAAUGGAGACAUAUUGGAGAGAAACCCUAUGAAUGUAACCAAUGUGACAAAGCCUUUGCAUGUUGCAGAACUCUUCAAAUCCAUAAAAAAAAACAUACUGGAGAGAAACCCUAUGAAUGUAACCAGUAUGGCAAAGCCUUUACACAAUUUGUUCAUCUUCAGUGUCAUGAAAUAACACAUAAUGAAGAGAAACCCUAUGAAUGUAACUAAUGUGGCAAAGCCUUUACAGGUCACAGUACUCUUCAAAUCAAUAAAAGAACACAUACUGGAGAGAAACCCUAUGAAUGUAACCAAUGUGGCAAAGCCUUUACACAUCUUCAGUGUCAUCAAAGGAUACAUACUGGAGAGACACCCUAUGAAUGUAACCAAUGUGGCAAAGCCUUUGUAUGUCACAGCUAUCUUCAAAUCCAUAAAAGAACCCAUACUGGAGAAAAACCCUGUGUAUGUAAACAAUGUUGGCAAAGCAUUCUCAUGUCACAGUACUCCAUGAAAUCAUAAAAGAUCACAUACUGGAGAGAAACCCUAUGAAUGUAACUAGUGUGGUAAAACCUUUGCACGACACAGUCAGCUUCAAACACAUAAAAGAAUACAUACAGAAGAGAAACCCUGAUAAUACAGUGAAUGCAGUAAAGGCUUUGUUAUGGUGGUCUGAAAAGGAAUUUUAAAAACAAAUUCUUGUGAGAACCCUGUAAAUGUAAUCAAUCUAAUAAAGCCAUUUGUUAGCAGUCACCUUCUAAGGGAUGCAACAUAGUUUGUGGGAAUAUAGUGGGUGGGUGUGUCUGAUUCUUUUGCCUACUCUCGAGAUGUUCUUGUCUUAAUUAUUUGCUUUGCGAGGUUUGAUAUGAGGGUUUGUGCCUAUUUUUAUUAAAAUAUCGUAUGCCUUGUUCAUUUGAUA
rnacentral:lncRNA from 1 species